rnacentral:rRNA from 1 species
AUUGAACGCUGGCGGCAUGCCUUACACAUGCAAGUCGAACGGUAACAGGUUAAGCUGACGAGUGGCGAACGGGUGAGUAAUGUAUCGGAACGUUCCCAGUCGUGGGGGAGAACUUCUCGAAAGAGCAGCUAAUACCGCAUACGACCUGAUGGUGAAAGCGGGGGAUUGCAAGACCUCGCGCGAUUGGAGCGGCUGGUAUCGGAUUAGGUAGUUGGUGAGGUAAAGGCUCACCAAGCCGACGACCUGUAGCUGGUCUGAGAGGACGACCAGCCACACUGGGACUGGGACACGGCCAAGACUCCUACGGGAGGCAGCAGUGGGGAAUUUUGGACAAUGGGCGCAAGCCUGAUCCAGCCAUGCCGCGUGCGGGAAGAAGGCCUUCGGGUUGUAAACCGCUUUUGUCAGGGAAGAAAAGGUUCUGGCUAAUACCUGGGACUCAUGACGGUACCUGAAGAAUAAGCACCGGCUAACUACGUG